UCUCUGGUCCCAUAUUCCUUCCCGCAUUCCUUCAGAGGUCAAGGGUAUCCUCGAGGGUAGAGAGAAACUGACUUUUAGGGCAGUAAGACUGCAGAUUGCAGAGCUGACGGAAGAGCACACAGCGAGGGCGGGGCUUACCUCUCGGGCUGCUGCAGAGUUCCCAGAAACUAGUUUCACUUUCAGCUGCUCUGAGUAAUGGGCAUGGUCUCAGCCCGGAGUACAGUUUUCCCUUUCAUGCAUCCUUAACAAAGAACUAGCGUUUUCCACCAAGCCUCUUGUAACAUACCCAGCUAGCAAAGGCUCUUGCUAACUAACCCGUGUUUACUUGCUUGCGCUGGCGACCAAGCCGUAAUUAACGAUGCUGUAAUUAACAAUGCCGGUCUUGUUAUCAGAGUCUCCCGGGAACACUGUGAGCGGACUCGCCUGCUGAAAUGAGUUGAACCUCUCUGGAUACAUCGUCACCGGUAAACCCAGAGGUGGGCCUCCUAGGCCCAAAUCCAGUCAACUGGACAAUGAAGAUCACCCAUCACAUAUAUAUUUGGACUUAUUCCGACUAUUCCUGUGUUGUCUUUUGCACUACUUUCUUGGUUUAUUUCUUUAUUGAUUUGUCUGCUCCAUUGAAUCCUUUUCUCUGAGUUUUGUGUUGUAUUACAAGUUCUGUGCCAAUUCUUGGUGUGUUUUGUUGUUCCUUUUUGUAUGCAAAUUUGCUUUAUGAGAAUAUUUAGUAGUAAACUGUAGCUGCAUAAAAGGAUUAUAAUUUUUUUGAAAGUUGGAGUACAUUUUAAAGCUUAACUUCCUUUUGAAUUUUCCCCAUGAUCUCAUCCCAAUCUGUAAAAUAAUAGUACCAUCAAGAAUUUUAGCUGGACGUGGUGGCACAUGCCUUUAAUCCCAGCACUUGGGAGGCAGAGGCAGGUGG
rnacentral:lncRNA from 1 species